rnacentral:rRNA from 1 species
ACCUACGGGAGGCAGCAGUGAGGAAUAUUGGUCAAUGGGCGAGAGCCUGAACCAGCCAAGUCGCGUGAGGGAAGACGGUCCUAUGGAUUGUAAACCUCUUUUGCCGGGGAGCAAAAAGCGGUACGUGUACCGCAUCGAGAGUACCCGGAGAAAAAGCAUCGGCUAACUCCGUGCCAGCAGCCGCGGUAAUACGGAGGAUGCGAGCGUUAUCCGGAUUUAUUGGGUUUAAAGGGUGCGCAGGCGGAGGUGCAAGUCAGCGGUCAAAUUGCGGGGCUCAACCCCGUACUGCCGUUGAAACUGCAUCC